AGGGCGGGGCGGACAAUGGAGAGGUGCGGCUGCAGGAGGACAAUGGCCUGGCUGGGGGUUCGGAACGGGCCCAGCCGGGGAGGGGUUGGCCUCGGGACCCGGAUGGAGGGAGAGUCUUCAGUGAAGGCCUGGACUCUCUCCAGGUGCCCCACCCUGGUGCUCCCCCCACUCUGAAGACCACUGCCCGUGGGUGGGCUUUCGGCCUUGCCUGAUGCCAGCCAAACCUCCUCCCCUCCCUGGGUCCUCUCCUGCCUCCAGCUCCUGGCUCCUAAAGACUCCUUGUACCCCAGAGCUUCCUUUGCUGAGCUGCCUGGGCUGAAGGCCCAGAACUACCGGCCUUCAGAUUUGGGGUGGCACAUGAGUCCUUACCUGCCAGUGAGAUGGGAACGGUUCGCUUGUCUACCUCGCAGGGUGUGCGAUGGGGUGUGACUCGCUUCUCCAGUGCCCUGCUGCUCAGACCUCUAGGAACCGGCAGGCACGGGGGAGCCCCAGCACACUGCAGCAUGAGGCCUCUGCACUCAGAAAGGCUCCUGUCACCUUCCAGCUCUCCUACCCUCCACCAUGUGACCUUGGCCCUGUGAUUUCAUCUUUUGAGCCUUAGUCUUCUCAUCUACAAAAUGGGGAUGGUAAUACCUGCCUCAGAAGGCUGUAGCCAGGAUUAAUGAGAUCAUACACCAUGAAGUUUGGCUCCGGACCUGGAAUACAGUUAAUGCUUGAUAAUGGUUGUCAUUGUUGUCACUGUACCGCCACUCCUCUGUGCCAGGCAGCCCCGUGCUGGAUACCAGGGACCCUGCGAUACACCAGAGCCAUUCAGGGACUCCUCAAGGAACUCAGAAUCUGAUGGGGAGAUGUGACACAAAGGCAAUUUAAAAGAAUAAAAUACGGGGGGCCGGGUGCGGUAGCUCA
rnacentral:lncRNA from 13 species